rnacentral:tRNA from 1 species
AUUAAGAUGGCAGACAAGUGCAUUAAGUUUAAGCCUUAAAUAUGAAUAAUUUAUUCUCUUAAUA